rnacentral:tRNA from 1 species
CGGAUAUGGUUUAGUGGUAAAACUCAAGCUUCCCAAGCUUGCUAUGCGGGUUCGAUUCCCGUUAUCCG